GGGGUUGUAGCUCAGUGGUAGAGCUCUUACCUUGCAUGCAUGAGGCCCUGGGUUCUAUCCCUAGCACCA
rnacentral:tRNA from 1 species